GCCUACGGCCAUACCACCCUGAGAACGCCCGAUCUCGUCUGAUCUCGGAAGCUAAGCAGGGUCGGGCCUGGUUAGUACUUGGAUGGGAGACCUCCUGGGAAUACCCGGUGCUGUAAGCU
rnacentral:rRNA from 1 species